CCUACGGGAGGCAGCAGUGGGGAAUCUUGCGCAAUGGGCGAAAGCCUGACGCAGCCGUGCCGCGUGAAUGAUGAAGGUCUUAGGAUUGUAAAAUUCUUUCACCGGGGACGAUAAUGACGGUACCCGGAGAAGAAGCCCCGGCUAACUUCGUGCCAGCAGCCGCGGUAAUACGAAGGGGGCUAGCGUUGCUCGGAAUUACUGGGCGUAAAGGGAGCGUAGGCGGAUAGUUUAGUCAGAGGUGAAAGCCCAGGGCUCAACCUUGGAAUUGCCUUUGAUACUGGCUAUCUUGAGUAUGGGAGAGGUAUGCGGAACUCCGAGUGUAGAGGUGAAAUUCGUAGAUAUUCGGAAGAACACCAGUGGCGAAGGCGGCAUACUGGCCCAUUACUGACGCUGAGGCUCGAAAGCGUGGGGAGCAAACAGGAUUAGAUACCCUGGUAGUCCACGCUGUAAACGAUGAGUGCUAGUUGUCGGCAUGCAUGCAUGUCGGUGACGCAGCUAACGCAUUAAGCACUCCGCCUGGGGAGUACGGUCGCAAGNUUAAAACUUAAAUGAAUUGACGGCUGAGACGNGCGAGACGACGACGAGGGAGAGG
rnacentral:rRNA from 1 species